AUUGAACGCUGGCGGCAUGCCUUACACAUGCAAGUCGAACGGUAACAGGUCUUCGGAUGCUGACGAGUGGCGAACGGGUGAGUAAUACAUCGGAACGUGCCUAGUAGUGGGGGAUAACUACUCGAAAGAGUGGCUAAUACCGCAUGAGAUCUACGGAUGAAAGCAGGGGAUCGCAAGACCUUGUGCUACUAGAGCGGCCGAUGGCAGAUUAGGUAGUUGGUGGGAUAAAAGCUUACCAAGCCGACGAUCGGUAGCUGGUCUGAGAGGACGAUGAGGCAGACUGGGACUGAGACACGGCCCAGACUCCUACGGGAGGCAGCAGUGGGGAAUUUUGGACAAGGGGCGCAAGCCUGAUCCAGCAAUGCCGCGUGCAGGAUGAAGGCCUUCGGGUUGUAAACUGCUUUUGUACGGAACGAAAAGCCCCGGGUUAAUACCCUGGGGUCAUGACGGUACCGUAAGAAUAAGCACCGGCUAACUACGUGCCAGCCGCCGCCGUAA
rnacentral:rRNA from 1 species